CUCCCUCUAUUAUCUUUUCGUCUUUCUCUUUCCCUUCACGGCCCCCAUUCUUGUCGUUUCUUCUUUGUACCUCCCCGAAGAGGAACAACAAAUUUCACUGAAAAGGUUUCAAAUCAAAGAAACCCCAAUUCUGUUUCUAAAUCAUAGACUGAUGCUAUGAACUCCCAACCUGGUUAUCGUCGUAUUUGGAAGUUCUAAAAGAUUGAUUUAUACUCUCUAACUGUUGAUUUGCAGGUGCCAAAAAUUUAUUAUUGAAUACUUUCUUUAUUUCUUACAUUAAAAUUUCUUGGAAUUUGAAUAUUUAGUUAAUCUUAAGGGGUUAGUUUUCAGUUCACCUGAUCUUCUUCCUUCAUGUUGUUUGGAAUUAUUUAUUUCAGUGUUCGAUUUAUAUUUUUGUCACUUUCUAUGACUUUUCUCUGUUUCUCCAUGUAUUCACCCCUCUUCCCAAAAGGUUAGUUUUUCUUUCUCUUCUCUUCUCCAUCUGGGUGUCUACGUGUUUCUUUUUGCUUUUUUUUCUUAAGAGUUUGUGUUGAAUUCAUUUCAUGUGUAUUUUUUCUCCUUUUUUCUUUUCAGUAAAAGGUUGAAUCGAUGUCAGGUGUAUAGAUUUGCUUGUUGUAUGUAGGUAUUUUUUUUAUUUCUAUAAACCUCGCAAGAGACUUUGCUGGGCAUUGAUAAGCAUAUUAGGAUUUUCGAUAUGGAAAUCGAGUUUUACGUUCUGGGUAUCAUCAAAAUUCAACAAAGCUCAGAAGAAUUGUGCAUUACAGGUUUCAAGUAGAGAUUCUUACACUAAAUUUUCUCGCAGGGUAAGUUGUACAGUUUCUCGAUUGUGAUCUCAAUUAUUGGAAAAGAAAUUACAUUCUUUAACUGUGCUUCAUUCUUUUUAUAAUUUGAUUCUGGGAAUUAAAUUUAUUUUCUUGUAGUUUCUCGAAGGAUCUAAGUCGGUAGUAAAAUGAUCUUCAGGAAGUAAUUUAGCAAAUCCUUGUUCAUCUACAAGAAAUUGUAAAAUAUUUAUCCCUUAAAAUACACCGGAGAUAAAACUAUAGUACUAUCGGAAACUUGUCAAGUGCAUAGAAAAUGCACCAUAGAAAUUUAAAUUUGACGAAAUAAUAAUUAUCAUCACUUCAACUAUAAUAACUGAUCGUGUGAGAGCAUAAUAGCGAAAGGGAAUAAAGGAAAUAAUCGAAAAGGAGUUUAUGUCUAAGGACUGGUUUUGAAGAUAUAAUUUAUAGUAGUGCGAGAUAAUAUCACUACAACAAAAAUGGCCUAAGGUCACACCAAUUUUAGACAACGCUUGAAAAGUGUUGCCAAAAAUAUCUACAGGACGUUUUUUAAGGGGUGGCCUUUAUCGAGCACUUUUGGCCACGGAAUUCUAGCAACGCUUACAAAGUGUUCUUUUUUAUUUUAAAGGCUACGCUUUUCACGUGUUGCCGAUCCAUUAAAUUAAGGCAACGUUUAGUCACAUGUAAUGUAACCCUUUAAGGGAGUGGUUGUUUAUAUUUGCAAUUGCGAUCCUCCAUAAACGUGCUCUAAAGUCCUCUAAAAUUUCCCGUUCAGAUUUCCCUCUAUUUGUUUUUGGCAAAAAGUUACGCUCUAAAAUACUCUAAUUAAAAUAUGCCUGUCAAAUUUACCCACACAACAAGAAGAUCUCGUCCUUCUUCCCUAAGAUCUGGCUCUUCUUGUACCUCUCUGUUCAUUGAGUGACGCGGGGUGAGUUCGGAGGAAAUCGUUGAUGGAAGCGAUAAAAUUCUUCUAAUUUCUCUUCUCAAAUUUCAAAACUUUCUCUUCGUCUGGUUCUGUGGCUAUCAGUUUCAAUUGGGGAUUUCGUUUUUUUAGGGUUUGCAGCCGCUGUUGACCUCCAUUUUUCAAAGACUUACUUCAGUCUAUAUCAGCUAAUUUCAGAGUAGUUCAAUAUUUCGAGACUCGGCUGCAUAUAUUGGAGGCUUAGCACGUGAAUUCCUAAUUUUACACCUCGGGAGUAACUGGUUUGAUAAAUUUUCUCCUACCAAUCUACCAGAUUCUAAAGUUUGCCAUCUCAAAAUUUCUCUUCUCUCAGGAUUUUGUUCUACUAAUUGGGAUAAAAGGGUGCUCUCUUCCAUUCAAAAGAUAUUCCAACAAAAAGGUGCUAGGCAGAAGAAGACGAGUCGUUUGUUCUUGAUUCAGAUUUUCUUGUGCCAAUGAAAGCGAUCCUGCACAGUAUUUCAGCAUACUGUUUCUGCAGAAUAAUUAUGAACAAACUAAAGUAUUCUUGUCCAAACUUUUAGAAGAAAAAGGUUGUUGGUUCUGCAUCCACAUGAAGAAGAGACGCACAUGGACAAAAGUAAUUUGAGAGGUGCUGAGAAGAGAAAUAUACUCUACAAGGUUAGUUAAGCCGAUAUGCUUCCAUCCAAGCAUGCAAUUGUCUAAAAGGCGUUAGUUUAGGUUUCAAGCCAGUAGAAUUCUGAAAUAUGUACUAUUAUGGAACCUGAAA